rnacentral:rRNA from 1 species
GGGGAAUAUUGCACAAUGGGCGCAAGCCUGAUGCAGCGACGCCGCGUGAGGGAUGGAGGCCUUCGGGUUGUAAACCUCUUUUAUCGGGGAGCAAGCGAGAGUGAGUUUACCCGUUGAAUAAGCACCGGCUAACUACGUGCCAGCAGCCGCGGUAAUACGUAGGGUGCAAGCGUUAUCCGGAAUUAUUGGGCGUAAAGGGCUCGUAGGCGGUUCGUCGCGUCCGGUGUGAAAGUCCAUCGCUUAACGGUGGAUCUGCGCCGGGUACGGGCGGGCUGGAGUGCGGUAGGGGAGACUGGAAUUCCCGGUGUAACGGUGGAAUGUGUAGAUAUCGGGAAGAACACCAAUGGCGAAGGCAGGUCUCUGGGCCGUUACUGACGCUGAGGAGCGAAAGCGUGGGGAGCGAACAGGAUUAGAUACCCUGGUAGUCCACGCCGUAAACGGUGGAUGCUGGAUGUGGGGCCCGUUCCACGGGUUCCGUGUCGGAGCUAACGCGUUAAGCAUCCCGCCUGGGGAGUACGGCCGCAAGGCUAAAACUCAAAGAAAUUGACGGGGGCCCGCACAAGCGGCGGAGCAUGCGGAUUAAUUCGAUGCAACGCGAAGAACCUUACCUGGGCUUGACAUGUUCCCGACAGCCGUAGAGAUGCGGCCUCCCUUCGGGGCGGGUUCACAGGUGGUGCAUGGUCGUCGUCAGCUCGUGUCGUGAGAUGUUGGGUUAAGUCCCGCAACGAGCGCAACCCUCGCCCUGUGUUGCCAGCACGUCAUGGUGGGAACUCACGGGGGACCGCCGGGGUCAACUCGGAGGAAGGUGGGGAUGACGUCAGAUCAUCAUGCCCCUUACGUCCAGGGCUUCACGCAUGCUACAAUGGCCGGUACAACGGGAUGCGACAUGGCGACAUGGAGCGGAUCCCUGAAAACCGGUCUCAGUUCGGAUUGGAGUCUGCAACCCGACUCCAUGAAGGCGGAGUCGCUAGUAAUCGCGGAUCAGCAACGCCGCGGUGAAUGCGUUCCCG